AGAGAGAGAGAGAGAGAGAUUGAGUGUAAGAAUAAGUUAGUUUCAUUUAAAUUGUAAAUGCAUAUUUUUAACUUUCUUGGGUUGUGUAUUUUCCAAUAAUUUCCAGUGAUUCUUAUGUAAUCCAUUUAGAGCCUUCAUAAAAUGCUGAGUUUGAGUCCCUCCUGGUAUUGUAGAGGCUGCCUGGUGCUAUAGUCUGGAUUUUGGAUCCCAAAGGCCUGUGUGCUAAAGGAUUGUCUCUUGGUGCCAUUGGUAGGUGAUGCAGCCUUUAGGAGGUGGGGCCCAGGAAUGGAAGUGAGUUGACUGAGAUGUAUCCUUGAAGGAGACAUUGGGACUCUUCCUCUUCCUCUCUUCUUUUUACUUCUCUGAGGCUACAAGGGCAAUAAAUCCAUUCCUGUUGGAAAGGCUUUAAUCCAUUCAUGAGCUCUCCAUCCCACCACCCAAACAUCUCCGCCUGCGCCUCACCUCCCAACAGUGCUGCACUGAAGAAUUAAAUUUCCAGGACUGGAGCCAACAGAGUGACUUGGAUCAAGGGACUUAUCCUCUGAGCUUCUGUGCCUCAUGUGACAUAGGAGAUCCCCGGUCUCAGCCGGCUUCCUCUGUCAUCCCAUCUCAGAGAACCACACACGGUCCUUUGCUCAGAGCCCGGGGCUUGAUGGUGCUCCUCUACUCAAUGUCAACUCAUUUUAGUCCCUGAGAGCCUGGGUCGUGUCCGUGACACGUUAGACUGAGCUCCCGUGACACAUCAUUAGAACUUACAAGGAAGAGGAGAGAAUCAAAGUCACAAGCCCAUCGCCACAGCAUAGGGCAUUACGGAGAGGACGACCUUGGGAAUUUAUGCCAUUCUAAAAACAAUUCAUAUAAAACAAGUCACACAAUUUACUGGAGAAAAAAUAGAUUAAUUCUGCAGGAGGAUAACUCUAGGUAAAAAUUCUUGGAGAGCAUCUUUCUCUAGAAGGUCUAAAGAUUAUAGAACUGACUGAUACUAAGACGACCACCUGGAAGGUCUUUGUCCUUUGAACAUCCCUACAAGACAAAGGGGAAGGUGGUAUUUCAUGCUGGCCCGUGUUUGAAUGGUGACAGUCUCCUGUCAAGGGAAGCCAGGCAAGCAGGGCUGUUGCUCGGGUCGGUGCCACCUAAGUGGGUUUAGGUUCCACAACAGGGACUUGAGUAGCAUUCCGAGGGCUAUUCAUCCACGGCAGCUGGAAGAGGAUGGAACCAAAGACGAGUUUACAACCACACCUGAAGAAGACAUCCGGGAUCAAAGCCGGGCGUUAAAUUUGAGAAACAAGCUGGUCAUCAAAUGAGGGGUGGGAUGGUGGUGGGAGGGGGAAUGUGGGAGAUUUUCUAGAGUUGAGUAGCUAGAAGAAAAGUCAUAAAUGAAAAAUGGGAUGACAGGGACAUGUCUUUGGUCCUAAAUAGGGAAGGGUUUUCUGGAACUUCCUUUUAUUAGGUGUUGACUGCAUGAUGUACACCUGAGUCAACUGGGUCAGAAGGAACAGGGUCUGAGGGUUGGAAUAAAAGAUUUGAGGUAUGUUUUCCACUUUAUAACCUCUGAGUAAUUGAAGUGAUUCAUCGUAACCUGAAGACUUGGGCUGAUGUCAGUGACUUCUCUGAAUUUUUAGCUUGGCAGAUUGCCAGUAAAUGCAUAGUU